CGCGUCGACCAUUGAAAACCUCCCAUUCAAUUUCAAGAACUUGCUCGUAGUAAAAGGUCAUUGCGACCUAUUUUGCGUUUAAGAACGUUUAACGUUGUCGACAAUAUGCUUUAUCAACCGCGUAGUUACAAAUUUCCGGUACGUUUUCGUUUGUACUGCUUUAUUGAUGUUUAAUGGCCCCAACGGAUGUAGUGUCUAAAAUUCUGAGAAAAUCAGCUGGUGGGAGACAAUUUGGAUAUUACGGUGAUCUGGAUGCCACACAGCAGAGACAGGUGAAUAUUACUACAGUACCUACAGAAUUCCGGACAUGAUUUCGAAAUUGCUUUUGUUGGUGAUCUUGGUGAUGAUUUUUUUACGAGACGGGAGGGCGUAUAACUACUACUACAUCACGGAAAAUAAAAGGGGAGACCAGUUCUUCAAUAAUUCAAUGACCGUUUCUAGCAGCGUUUAUGGGUUCGCAUUUGUUAUCUUACUGGCGUUUUUGCGAUAGUCAUGAUGGAUCCGUGCCAAGAGUCCACGCGGUACCAAACGUAGUAUUCUCUAUGUGUUAUUUAAUUAUAACAAACAGCUUUACCUCUAAUUUUAAAAUAUACAGUGAUUAAAAGUAUUAUUUUGCAAUCCAAAUUUUUGUAUUUGUACUCGGCAGUUCUGUAACUUUGCUGUAGAAUAUUUUUUUUGAUAUUUUGUAGAUUUAUUCGUUUUACUAUGGCCAUAACAAUGACAAUAACAAUCAUUUUUGUUAAUUGCGGAAAUAGCAAAUAAUUAAUACCUCGUCCCUACAGAACCCAUUGACAAUAAUAAUAAAAUUAUAACAUAUUAAUGUA